rnacentral:rRNA from 1 species
CCUCCCUUCGAGUGGGGAUAACGUCCCGAAAGGGACGCUAAUCCCGCAUAACAUCCUGCCUUUGAACAGGUGGAGAUCAAAGCUGGGGAUCGUGAGACCUGGCGCUUGAUGAGGGGCCCGCGUCCGAUUAGCUAGUUGGUGGGGUAAUGGCUCACCAAGGCGACGAUCGGUACCGGCCUGAGAGGGCGGACGGUCACACUGGGACUGAGNCCCGGCCCAGACUCCUACGGGAGGCAGCAGUGGGGAAUUGUUCACAAUGGGCGCAAGCCUGAUGACGCAACGCCGCGUGGAGGAUGAAGGUCUUCGGAUUGUAAACUCCUGUUGCCCGGGACGAAAUGCGUCCAACCUAAUACGUUGGAGUUUGACGG